GCCAGUGUGGUGUGGUUUGAGCGUUGGACUACCACUCCAGAGACCAGGGUUCGAUUCCUAGCUUGGCC